UUUUAAAAUUUUUUUUAUUAUACUUUAAGUUAUAGGGUACAUGUGCACAAUGUGCAGGUUUGUUACAUAUGUAUACAUGUGCCAUGUUGGUGUGCUGCAACCAUUAACUCGUCAUUUACAUUAGGUAUAUCUCCUAAUGCUAUCCCUCCCCCAACCCCCUCCCCACAAUAGGAUCUGGUGUGUGAUGCUCCCCUUUCGGUGUCCAAGUGAUCUCAUUGUUCAGUUCCCACCUAUGAGUGAGAACAUGUGGUAUUUGGUUUUCUGUUCUUACAAUAGUUUGCUGAGAAUGAUGGUUUCCAGCUGCAUCCAUGUCCCUACAAAGGACACGAACUCAUCCGUUUUUAAUGGCUGCAUAGUAUUCCAUGGUAUAUAUGUGCCACAUUUUCUUAAUCCAGUCUGUCACUGAUGGACAUUUGGGUUGAUUCCAAGUCUUUGCUAUUGGGAAUAGUGGUGCAAUAAACAUACGUGUGCAUGUGUCUUUAUAGCAGCAUAAUUUAUAAUCCUUUGGGUAUAUACCCAGUAAUGGGAUGGCUGGGUCAAAUGGUAUUUCUAGUUCUAGAUCCUUGAGGAAUCGCCACACUGUUUUCCACAAUGGUUUAACUAGUUUACAGUCCCACCAACAGUGUAAAAAUGUUCCUAUUUCUCCACAUCCUCUCCAGCACCUGUUGUUUCCUGAUUUUUUAAUGAUUGUCGUUCUAACUGGUGUGAGAUGGUAUCUCAUUGUGGUUUUGAUUUGCAUUUCUCUGAUGGCCAGUGAUGAUGAGCAUUUUUUCAUGUGUCUGUUGGCUGUAUGAAUGUCUUCUUUUGAGAAGUGUCUGUUCAUAUCCUUUGCCCACUUUUUGAUGGGGUUUUUUCUUGUAAAUUUGAUUGAGUUCUUUAUAGGUUCUGGAUAUUAGCCCUUUGUCAGAUGAGUAGAUUGCAAAAAUUUUCUCCCAUUCUGUAGGUUGCCUGUUCACUCUGAUGGUAGUUUCUUUUGCUGUGCAGAAGCUAUUUAGUUUAAUUAGAUCCCAUAUGUCAAUUUUGAUUUUUGUUGCCUUUGCUUUUGGUGUUUUAGACAUGAAGUCCUUGCCCAUGCCUAUGUCCUGAAUGGUAUUACCUAGCUUUUCUUCUAGGGUUUUUAUGGUUUUAGGUCUAACAUUUAAGUCUCUAAUCCAUCUUGAAUUAAUUUUCCUAUAAGGAGUAAGGAAAGGAUCCAGUUUCAGCUUUCUACUUAUGGCUAGCCAAUUUUCCCAGCACCAUUUAUUAAAUAGGGAAUCCUUUCCCCAUUUCUUGUUUUUCUCAGGUUUGUCAAAGAUCAGAUGGCUGUAGAUGUGUGGUAUUAUUUCUGAGGGCUCUGUUCUGUUCCAUUGGUCUAUAUCUCUGUUUUGGUACCAGCACCAUGCUGUUUUAGUUACUGUAGCCUUGUAGUAUAGUUUGAAGUCAGGUAGCGUGAUGCCUCCAGCUUUGUUCUUUUGGCUUAGCAUUGUCUUGGAGAUGCGGGCUCUUUUUUGGUUCCAUAUGAACUUUAAAGCAGUUUUAUCCAAUGUUGUGAAGAAAGUCAUUAGUAGCUUAAUGGGGAUGGCAUUGAAUCUAUAAAUUACCUUGGGCAGUAUGGCCAUUUUCACAGUAUUGAUUCUUCCUAUCCAUGAGCAUGGUAUGUUCUUCCAUUUGUUUGUGUCCUCUUUGAUCUCACUGAGCAGUGGUUUGUAGUUCUCCUUGAAGAGGUCCUUUACAUCCCUUGUAAGUUGGAUUCCUAGGUAUUUUAUUUUCUUUGAAGCUAUUGUGAAUGGGAGUUCAUUCAUGAUUUGGCUCUCUGUUUGUCUGUUACUGGUGUAUAAGAAUGCUUGUGAUUUUUGCACAUUAAUUUUGUAUCCUGAGACUUUGCUGAAGUUGCUUAUCAGCUUAAGGAGAUUUUGGGCUGAGACAAUGGGGUUUUCUAAAUAUACAAUCAUGUCAUCUGCAAAUGGGGACAAUUUGACUUCUUCUUUUCCUAACUGAAUACCCUUGAUUUCUUUCUCUUGCCUGAUUGUCCUAGCCAGAACUUCCAACACUAUGUUGAAUAGGAGUGGUGAGAGAGGGCAUCCCUGUCUUGUGCCAGUUUUCAAAGGGAAUUUUUCCAGUUUUUGCCCAUUCAGUAUGAUAUUGGCUGUGGGUUUGUCAUAAAUAGCUCUUAUUAUUUUGAGAUACGUUCCAUCAAUACCAAAUUUAUUGAGCAUUUUUAGCAUGAAGGGCUGUUGAAUUUUGUCAAAGGCCUUUUCUGCAUCUAUUGAGAUAAUCAUGUGGUUUUUGUCUUUGGUUCUGUUUAUAUGCUGGAUUACGUUUAUUGAUUUAUAUAUGUUGAAUCAGCCUUGCAUCCCAGGGAUGAAGCCCACUUGAUCAUGGUGGAUAAGCUUUUUGAUGUGCUGCUGGAUCAGUUUGCCAGUAUUUUAUUGAGGAUUUUUGCAUCGAUGUUCAUCAGGGAUAUUGGUCUAAAAUUCUCUUUUUUUGUUGUGUCUCUGCCAGGCUUUGGUAUCAGGAUGAUGUUGGCCUCAUAGAAUGAUUUAGGGAGGAUUCCCUCUUUUUCU
ensembl:lncRNA